GCUGUCCAGCCUGGAGAGGAGCAGGCUCUGGGGAGGCCUCAUUGCAGCCUUCCAGUGUCUAAAGGAGUCAGAGAGUCAUAGGAGAAAGGGGAACGGGUUUCAAAUGGAAGAGGGGAGAUUUGGGUUGGAUGUUAGGAAGAACUGUGAGGGUGGUGAAACACUGGAACAGGCUGCCCAGAGAAGCUGUGGAUGUCCCAUCCUUGGAAGGCCCCAUUCCAGGCCAAGGUGGACAGGGCCCUGAGCACCCUGAUCCAGCCGGUGGCAUCCCUGCCCAUGGCAGGGGGUUGGAACUGGGUGAUCUUCAAGGUGCCUUCCAAGGCAAGGCAUUCUGGAACUCUAUGAGGGUGCAAAGUGCACUCCUGCUACCUGGGCAUGGAAUGUUACCAAGCCAUGGGGAGUCCUGCUCCGAGGGCUCUGGUGACUGGGAGUUUGUUAACUUGAAGCACAGACUUUGAUACUCCAAUUAGCAUGACCCUCCAUGUCACUUCUUGGUGGUGUACGUUGAGGGGAAAAUCCUUGCCAAGAUGACACUGGCAGAUCUUAUAGUUCCAGCAGUGACUGACAAUUUGCAGAUACUUCAAGUCCCGUUUGCCUGGUGCCAACAGAGCAACAAACUGUAAUUCUUUACUCCCAGUUCCUGUGGUUUCCUUUCUGCAGCAGUUGUUUGUCUUACACAAAGUGUUUGUGGCUAUCACAGCUGAAUUUGCCUGUUUGGAGGAGAAAGAGGGAAACAAACACCUUCAGCCGAAAUCCAAUUAGGGAACAGAAAUGGGGGAGCAGGGAGGGGGGUGUUCAGGUGGGGUUCCUAAGCUGAUUCUGUUUCUACCUCGUUGCCACAGUUGGAGCAGAGCCACCAGCACCCACUUGUUUCCAGAGCAGCAGAUAAUCCAGUAGUGCUACUGAUUAGUGAUGAUGAAGAGGAACAAGGAGAUAAUGAUGGACUGCACAAAGUGAACAACUGAUUGCGUCAACCCCGUGUGGUCAUGUCUACUGCAGUUGAUGCCUCCCUGUUGCCCUUCAGACUGCCAGCACUUGCCCAGCCUGCAGGACAGAACUCAGUCAUGAAAAAUAUCAUCCCCUUUAUAUAUGAGCACUUCUGUUUCUCCAGACAGACUCAGAUGGAUCUUGGGGGAUAGGCUGUGUAAAGACUUGUUUCUUUGUAUAUAUAGUUCUUCCUGUAUAUAGUUCUAUUUUUCUUGAAUUUAGUUAUAAAUAAAGUAUUGAUUAAGUAUAGU